AAUGUUGCCGUCCCUUUUGUUAUGGUACUAUUAAGACCAUUGUGGAACUUAACACCAGAAGUAUUUCGGCGUAAACUGAAGUCCAUUUGGCUAGCAUUUCUUCUUUCUUACAAACGACUUACAAUAUUCUUUUUCGGCAAUGCUUACAAACCACGUUCUUCUGCCGAGUUAAAUACUUUAUUGGCGGAACAACACAACUUAGGCACUCUUUUGAAGCCUAUAAAUAAGGAUGAACUUGAGCUGCUCCUGAUCUCUGCAAAAGAACUUUAUAAUAAAUUGGCCAUAGUAAAGUUUGGUUCUGAAUUUUGCGAACCUUGUAAAAAAACAUCUCCGACCUUCGAGACUCUCGCCUUCGCUUAUAAGGAAAGUGUUUUGUUUGUAGAAGUUGAUUUGGCAGGGGACUUUUCUUCCGUUCAAUUUCAGGGCAUCUCAGUAAUUCCCGAAUUCCGUCUUUUUGAUGGCUUGAAGGUGCUUGAAAGUUUUACUGGAAGUAAUCCUGAAAAGUUACAGCUAUUUAUUGAAAAGUGUUAUCGGAUUGCUAGAAUGACA